UCUCGCUAUUUAUAUUUCAAUCUUUCCCAUUCUCUCACUCUUUCUUUUUCUCUCAAUCUUCCAAUCUUUCAUUUUUUUCUUUUUCUUACACAGAUUUUUUUCCUUUGGUCUCUCGCGCACUCUUUACUUUCUCUCAUACGCUCUUUCUUUUUUUCUCUCAAUCUCUUUCUUACUCUCUUACAGUGUGAGUGUGUGUGUGUGUGUGUUAGUUAGACUGAAUGUGUGA
rnacentral:lncRNA from 1 species